UUAAGUUCAGCGGGUAUCCCUACCUAAUCCGAGGUCAAUCAUUAAAAAAUGGGGGGGUUUUGACGAGUAUCCACCAGGACCCUAUAGCGAUGAAAUUACUACGCUUAGAGCCUGACAGCACUGCCACUGAUUUUAGAGGGUGCCUUUACAGCAGGCCUCAACACCAAGCCGAAGCUUGAGGGGUGAUAAUGACGCUCGAA
rnacentral:misc_RNA from 1 species